GUGGCUGUCAACAACUCGUCAAUUGUUGAGAUGACAGCAACCUGCCCUUCAAGUGGACCACAGCUUGAAAUAGGCACCAGAACAAGACAGCAGACCUUGUGCAAUGCACUCUCCCACGGGCCUCCCAUUCCAAUUUCCCCUUUUUAAGCCUUUCUCCCCAGCCUAAAGUUUUAAGAGGUUUCUGGAGGCGUAAGGAUUCUAUUUAUGUUUAAUGAACAAAAAAAUUAGUUUCAAUGAAAACUUUAUUUGAAAUGAUGAAUUCAAGCUAUUACCAGCCUCCCAAGUAAGAUGCCAGAGACUUCAAACACUGCUGUUGUUUCUCAAGGAAAAGAUCCAGUUAACAAGGAAUCAUUCUCUCUUCUUCAAUAGCUGCUUACGGAUGGCUGGUGGGUGGGAAGGCCAGGAGCCAGAGGUGUACCACAGCUGCUGUGCCUGCCAAAGAACAAGCAGGUGUUCUGG
rnacentral:lncRNA from 1 species